CGAACCACUUCGGUGGUGAGCGGCGAACGGGUGAGUAACACGUAGGUGAUCUGCCCAUCAGACGGGGACAACGAUUGGAAACGAUCGCUAAUACCGGAUAGGACGAAAGUUUAAAGGUGCUUCUGGCACCGCUGAUGGAUGAGCCUGCGGCGCAUUAGCUAGUUGGUAGGGUAAAGGCCUACCAAGGCGACGAUGCGUAGCCGACCUGAGAGGGUGAACGGCCACACUGGGACUGAGACACGGCCCAGACUCCUACGGGAGGCAGCAGUAGGGAAUCUUCGGCAAUGGGCGAAAGCCUGACCGAGCAACGCCGCGUGAAUGAUGAAGGCCUUCGGGUUGUAAAAUUCUGUUAUAAGGGAAGAACGACUUUAGUAGGAAAUGGCUAGAGUGUGACGGUACCUUAUGAGAAAGCCACGGCUAACUACGUGCCAGCAGCCGCGGUAAUACGUAGGUGGCGAGCGUUAUCCGGAAUUAUUGGGCGUAAAGAGCGCGCAGGUGGUUGAUUAAGUCUGAUGUGAAAGCCCACGGCUUAACCGUGGAGGGUCAUUGGAAACUGGUCGACUUGAGUGCAGAAGAGGGAAGUGGAAUUCCAUGUGUAGCGGUGAAAUGCGUAGAGAUAUGGAGGAACACCAGUGGCGAAGGCGGCUUCCUGGUCUGUAACUGACACUGAGGCGCGAAAGCGUGGGGGAGCAAACAGGAUUAGAUACCCUGGUAGUCCACGCCGUAAACGAUGAGUGCUAAGUGUUGGGGGUCGAACCUCAGUGCUGAAGUUAACGCAUUAAGCACUCCGCCUGGGGAGUA
rnacentral:rRNA from 1 species